GCACCCGCGGUAAUUCCAGCUCCAAUAGCGUAUAUUAAAGUUGUUGCAGUUAAAAAGCUCGUAGUUGGAUUUCUAGAUAAGUGGGCACUUGUGCUUUGCUUGUCUACCAGUCUUAGACUGUUACUGUGAGAAAAUUAGAGUGUUUCAAGCAGGCUGUUGCAGGAAUACAUUAGCAUGGAAUAACGAAUGUGUCCGGAAUAUUGGUUAAUUCUAGAUUACGAUUAAUAGGGACAGUUGGGGGCAUUAGUAUUUAAUUGUCAG
rnacentral:rRNA from 1 species